rnacentral:misc_RNA from 1 species
AACGCACAUUGCGCCCCUUGGUAUUCCGAGGGGCAUGCCUGUCCGAGCGUCAUUUCAACCAUCAAGCAUUGCUUGGUAUUGGGCUUUUGCCUGCUUUGGCAAGCCUAAAACUUAGUGGCGGUCCCUCUUGGACUCAAGCGUUGUAAAUUACUUACGUUUAGAGCACAAGAGAUGUGACCUGUCAAACCACCCCAAUUUAUCACGGUUGACCUCGGAUCAGGUAGGGAUACCCGCUGAACUUAA